rnacentral:rRNA from 1 species
CCUACGGGAGGCAGCAGUGAGGAAUAUUGGUCAAUGGACGCAAGUCUGAACCAGCCAUGCCGCGUGCAGGAUGACGGCUCUAUGAGUUGUAAACUGCUUUUGUACGAGGGUAAACCCCGAUACGUGUAUCGGGUUGAAAGUAUCGUACGAAUAAGGAUCGGCUAACUCCGUGCCAGCAGCCGCGGUAAUACGGAGGAUCCGAGCGUUAUCCGGAUUUAUUGGGUUUAAAGGGUGCGUAGGCGGUUUGAUAAGUUAGAGGUGAAAUGUCGGGGCUCAACCCCUUUAAGCCGUUGAAACUGGUGAUCUUGAGUGGGCGAGAAGUAUGCGGAAUGCGUGGUGUAGCGGUGAAAUGCAUAGAUAUCACGCAGAACUCCGAUUGCGAAGGCAGCAUACCGGCGCCCGACUGACGCUGAGGCACGAAAGCGUGGGGAUCGAACAGGAUUAGAUACCCUAGUAGUC